GACGAACGCUGGCGGCGUGCUUAACACAUGCAAGUCGAGCGGUAAGGCCCUUUCGGGGGUACACGAGCGGCGAACGGGUGAGUAACACGUGGGUGACCUGCCCUCAGCUCUGGGAUAAGCCCGGGAAACUGGGUCUAAUACUGGAUAUGACUCCAUGACGCAUGUUGUGGGGUGGAAAGCCUUGUGCGGCUGAGGAUGGGCCCGCGGCCUAUCAGCUUGUUGGGGGUGAUGGCCUACCAAGGCGACGACGGGUAGCCGGCCUGAGAGGGCGACCGGCCACACUGGGACUGAGACACGGCCCAGACUCCUACGGGAGGCAGCAGCGGGGAAUCUUGCGCAAUGGGCGAAAGCCUGACGCAGCGACGCCGCGU
rnacentral:rRNA from 1 species